rnacentral:lncRNA from 1 species
CGGGGUGAGCUAAAAACUCAAUGAGGUACCAAAAGUGUAACAGUAGAAAUCAUGAGAAAACACUUUUAGGGCACAUAUACACAUCAAGUAAGAGAAAUGAACGAACACCAUAAUUUAAAGGAUACAGGUGGCCCUCAAGAGCCAAAUCCCCGUUGCAAUAUUUGAUCCAACCUCGUUGACUCUCCGUCAACGUUUAAUGACACACUCAUGUCCGUAGACCCCUCUUACGCCAAAAUUCCGUUCACCAAACAUACCCCUUACCGGGCCUGAACGCCGAACAAGAACAGAAAUGGUAAUACUCGAGUAUACCGGAAUCAAGAGUCUCAAAACCCAAAGAUUCCUCAGGAACAGGCACCCGUAGAUUGUCAAUUACCUCGACCAAGCCCAUGCUAACUCGACUUAAUUAAGUCCCCAUGAGGUUGGGCUCAAGUUAACAGGAAAAUCGUUGGACACAUUUCCAAACGAUCUCAUAACAAGCGCAAGUAACAAGUUCAAGUUCAUAACAAGUACAAGUAAUAGAUUCCAAUUCAUUCAGUACAGGCAAGAGAACGAGUGUGAUAAAGUACACUCUCAUUUCAUUCAGAAUAACAGAGUUCAUAGUUAUCCAUGUCACACAUUUCAAGUAUAGAUGAACCAAUUAAACAACAAUUCAGGGGAGUGGUACACUCACCAGUUAAAGCAGAGUUUCAACCAAGGUAGGGCUCUAAUCACCAAGAAACCCUAGAAUAGCCAAGGUAAACAAUUAUGGUUCCCAUAGCCACAAUUCCAGUAAAUAAAAUGCACAAAUGAGGCUCGACUACAAGUCGUAGACCUCGCCAACUAAUUACUCAUGCAAGUGUGCAAAACAUGAUUUCGGGAACAAAAAGGUAAUAUGAAACCCUAGGGCUCGAACAACCCCAAAAGCCUAUCUUAUAUAUAUCCCAAAUCAAACCAAACUCGAAAGAAUCCAACAUUCCCAAAAUUUGGACAGCAUGUCCCCUACAUUUCCUUACUUUUCCAUCCUGCAAGCAACACCAAUUCAUCUCAAAUCAACCACAUACACAUUAUAGACUAUAGAAUACACCUUUCGGUACAAUAAGCACAAUUGAAGCUACACUUAUCGGAUUGAAACGAAUCUUAUGGCAUUUCGAAGCCAAGACAUAAACCUACAUUUAUUAUGAAGACCUCCACAACCAAAUCAUGCAUUUUCAUGGUCAAAAAUGGAAAUCUCCACGAAAACAGAAAUCUGUUCGCGAAACAGGGUUCAUGGGCAGUCAAGGGUAUUUCGGUCAUUUCAUAGGGUACAAUGCUCCGAUUGAGCUGAAAUUUUGUAGGCAGAUAGUUAACAUCAUUUUAUACAACUUUCAUGUUUUAACCUAAGCCUGAUUCGGCCUCUAACAUGCACUAAUAAAACCGGCCAGAACAGGGCAGAUUGGAACCCUAAAACUGAAAUUUUCCGCACAAGCUGAAAUUUUCCGCAAUUAACCGCAAUUAACGCACAAGGGAUCCAUUUAACACAAUUUAAAACCAUCAAUCCAAGGCCAACCAUAAUCAUCAUAUGAAAACAGAAAAUUCCCCAAAAAAAUCAGAAAUUUAGCUAACUCUGCUUUAAUCCAUGAAAUCUUCCACAAAGUAGCAUCUAUAACAACUAUAAGCCACUACUUAUCAAUUAAUUGAAGUAAAGAAGAAGUUUGUAAGUAAAGUACCUUGACACCUCAAGAAAGAUGAUAACUUAGGGUUUUUCUUUCCAAAACAACUCCACCAAGACCUUCAAACUC